rnacentral:rRNA from 1 species
UCAGUGCUGCAGCUAACGCAUUAAGUAAUCCGCCUGGGGAGUACGACCGCAAGGUUGAAACUCAAAAGAAUUGACGGGGGCCCGCACAAGCGGUGGAGCAUGUGGUUUAAUUCGAAGCUACGCGAAGAACCUUACCAGGUCUUGACAUCUUCUGACAGUCUAAGAGAUUAGAGGUUCCCUUCGGGGACAGAAUGACAGGUGGUGCAUGGUUGUCGUCAGCUCGUGUCGUGAGAUGUUGGGUUAAGUCCCGCAACGAGCGCAACCCUUAUUACUAGUUGCCAGCAUUAAGUUGGGCACUCUAGUGAGACUGCCGGUGACAAACCGGAGGAAGGUGGGGACGACGUCAAAUCAUCAUGCCCCUUAUGACCUGGGCUACACACGUGCUACAAUGGAUGGUACAACGAGUCGCGAGACCGCGAGGUUAAGCUAAUCUCUUAAAACCAUUCUCAGUUCGGACUGUAGGCUGCAACUCGCCUACACGAAGUCGGAAUCGCUAGUAAUC